ensembl:lncRNA
GUCUAGAGGAGGUCUAGAGGUGGUCUAGAGGUGGUCUACAGGUGGGCCAGAGGUGGGCUAGAGGUGGUCUAGAGGAGGUCUAGAGGUGGUCUAGAGGUGGUCUAGAGGAGGUCUAGAGGUGGUCUAGAGGAGGUUCUAGAGGUGGUCUAGAGGUGGUCUAGAGGUGGUCUAGAGGUGGGCUAGAGGUGGUCUAGAGGUGGUCUAGAGGAGGUCUAGAGGAGGUUCUAGAGGUGGUCUAGAGGUGGUCUAGAGGAGGUCCAGUGGUCCUCAAUCGUCUUGAGCAUCAGAAGAUGGAGAGUGUGUCAGCGGAGGACGGCGUGUUGGGGGAGAGUUUGGGGGAGAGUUGCUCGCUCACUAAGAGGAUGACGAUGAUAGGCUGCCAGCUCCCUCCUCCCUCGCAGCCUGUUUCCAUGGUUACUUCUGACUUUGAAGAUAGCAGUGGAUUGAGAGAGGGGUGAGGCGGAGACUGAGGAGGGGAGGAGAGGAAAGAGAGAGAGAGGACAGGGAGGAGGUGAGGAGAGGAAGAACAGUUAAAGGAGGAAGAGGAGGGGAGGUUGCAGAGGAACGAGAGAGGGGAGGGGAGGAGAGACGGAGACGGAGUGGUCGGGAGGAGAGAGAAAUACUAAAAGAGAAGAGAAAUAAAAGAAGGGUUGAAUAUAGAGGGCUACUGCACUGCACAGUGUAAACACAUCACAUGUACCAAACUGUGUCAACACAUCACAUGUGCCAAACUGUAUCAACACAUCACAUGUACCAAACUGUAUCAACACAUCACAUGUACCAAACUGUAUCAACACAUCACAUGUACCAAACUGUGUCAACACAUCACAUGUGCCAAACUGUGUCAACACAUCACAUGUACCAAACUGUCUCAACACAUCUAUCAUCCAGCUCUACACCCCACUGGCCAUGCAGUGGCAGUGCAACGGUCUUUGGGUGGUGCAAGGGCACAAUCAAGUUUAUUGUGCACACCUGCGAAGGAGUGCUUAAAAGCCAUGCCUUCAGCCUCAGAAGGGGGCUUGCUUUCUCGUGAGAACAUGAGCUAUUGUCAAGACUUUUCAC